CAGUUAGUGGCCGAAUUUUAUGGCGUAAGUCUUUUAAACUUAUUAUAGCUCAGCUCUAACUGU
rnacentral:tRNA from 3 species